UGGCACAUAGGAUUUGACAGACAUUUAAUAACAUCUUUUUCUUACUCGUCUUCUUGUGAAUCUAUUUGCCUAAUAUUUGAUUAGAGCAAAAGUUUCGGGGCACAGUGGGGGUUGUCAGAUUUACUCACUGUGAUGUAGUCUGAGAUAUUCAAGUUACAUAGUCAUAGCUGGAGAAAAAAAUUUCCCGUGUUUUUGCCAAAAGAGAUCAUGGCUCGUGUAUAGGGUCAGCUUUGUUUCAGGCUGCUGACUGAGAAUUUGGAGUUUCCCAGGCUGAUACCUGCCUUUGCGGCUGCUUCUACAUGAGAAAGGGGAUUGCAGUUUGGUGUCUUUGCAAGAGCAUCUUUGGGUUGGGCAGAGUGAGUGUGAAUUCUUCUCUGCCAUUCACUGGCUUUCUCAUCACAGGCAAGAUGCUUAAUCCUGUCAGCCUGCGUACGUGCACCUGAAAAAUGCAAAUAAUAAAACUUUUGAAGGGA